ACGUAUCCAACCUACCGGUUAUUCCGGGAUAGCCUUUCGAAAGAAAGAUUAAUACCGGAUAGUAUAACGAGAAGGCAUCUUCUUGUUAUUAAAGAAUUUCGAUAACCGAUGGGGAUGCGUUCCAUUAGUUUGUUGGCGGGGUAACGGCCCACCAAGACAUCGAUGGAUAGGGGUUCUGAGAGGAAGGUCCCCCACAUUGGAACUGAGACACGGUCCAAACUCCUACGGGAGGCAGCAGUGAGGAAUAUUGGUCAAUGGACGAGAGUCUGAACCAGCCAAGUAGCGUGAAGGAUGACUGCCCUAUGGGUUGUAAACUUCUUUUAUAUGGGAAUAAAGUGAGCCACGUGUGGCUUUUUGUAUGUACCAUACGAAUAAGGAUCGGCUAACUCCGUGCCAGCAGCCGCGGUAAUACGGAGGAUCCGAGCGUUAUCCGGAUUUAUUGGGUUUAAAGGGAGCGUAGGCGGACUAUUAAGUCAGCUGUGAAAGUUUGCGGCUCAACCGUAAAAUUGCAGUUGAUACUGGUCGUCUUGAGUGCAGUAGAGGUAGGCGGAAUUCGUGGUGUAGCGGUGAAAUGCUUAGAUAUCACGAAGAACUCCGAUUGCGAAGGCAGCUUACUGGACUGUAACUGACGCUGAUGCUCGAAAGUGUGGGUAUCAAACAGGAUUAGAUACCCUGGUAGUCCACACAGUAAACGAUGAAUACUCGCUGUUUGCGAUAUACGGCAAGCGGCCAAGCGAAAGCAUUAAGUAUUCCACCUGGGG
rnacentral:rRNA from 1 species